rnacentral:lncRNA from 1 species
CACGGUGCUGGAUGGGAGCACUGCAGUGUGCAGCUGCAUUGCACGGUGCUGAGUGUGGCUGCAUUGCAGAGGGUGAGAGCUCUGCAGUGUGUGGUUGCAUUGCACCGUGCUGGGUGGCUGCAAUGCAGAGUGUGGGUGCAUUGCACGGUGCUGGGUGGGUGCUGGGCUCUGUGUGGUUGCAUUGCACGGUGCUGAGUGUGGCUGCAUUGCACGGUGCUGGGUGGGUGCUCUGCAGUGUGUGGUUGCAUUGCACGGUGCUGCAUGGGUGCAAUGCAGUGUGUGGCUGCAUUGCACGGUGCUGAGUGUCGCUGCAUUGCAGAGGGUGGGAGCUCUGCAGUGUGUGGUUCCAUUGCAUGGUGCUGGGUGGAUGCUGUGCAGUGUGUGGUUGCAUGGCACGGUGCUGGGUGGGUGCAAUGCAGAGUGUGGUUGCAUUGCACAGUGCUGAGUGUGGCUGCAUUGCAGAGGGUGGGAGCUCUGCAGUGUGUGGUUGCAUUGCACAGUGCUGGGUGGGUGCAAUGCAGAGUGUGGUUGCAUUGCACGGUGCUGAGUGUGGUUGCAUUGCACGGUGCUGAGUGUGGCUGCCUUGCAUGGUGCUGGG